GAUGAACGCUGGCGGCGUGCCUAAUACAUGCAAGUCGAGCGAACAGACGAGGAGCUUGCUCCUCUGACGUUGGCGGCGGACGGGUGAGUAACACGUGGAUAACCUACCUAUAAGACUGGGAUAACUUCGGGAAACCGGAGCUAAUACCGGAUAAUAUAUUGAACCGCAUGGUUCAAUAGUGAAAGACGGUUUUGCUGUCACUUAUAGAUGGAUCCGCGCCGCAUUAGCUAGUUGGUAAGGUAACGGCUUACCAAGGCAACGAUGCGUAGCCGACCUGAGAGGGUGAUCGGCCACACUGGAACUGAGACACGGUCCAGACUCCUACGGGAGGCAGCAGUAGGGAAUCUUCCGCAAUGGGCGAAAGCCUGACGAAGCAACGCCGCGUGAGUGAUGAAGGUCUUCGGAUCGUAAAACUCUGUUAUUAGGGAAGAACAAAUGUGUAAGUAACUAUGCACGUCUUGACGGUACCUAAUCAGAAAGCCACGGCUAACUACGUG
rnacentral:rRNA from 1 species